UGGUCUAUAUUAUGAAUCACAUACAUCAUUAAAUGAAUGAAUCUAAAAAGUAAAUUUUAUUUAUAUUUAAAAACAGAGCGUGUGGAUCACAAAACACAUUAGCUACCAGUUAAAAGUCCUGAUGACUCGUGAAGUUUAUUCAACCCAGACCAGUUGGCAUGGGAUAUAAAUGAGUGAGAGGGGGUGAACCGACAAGGGAGUAAUGGCCACUGCUAUAUAGUACAUAAAAUGGUUCAAGCUUUAAAUUGGCAUGCUAGUAUAUACUCAAUCCGUUUUAAAAUAUAAGUAAAUUUUAGUUUUUAGGUUCAUUCAAUUAAUGAUGUAUGUGGUUUAUAAUAUGAACCA
rnacentral:pre_miRNA from 1 species